rnacentral:sRNA from 1 species
GAACUCGGUGGUCCCGGAAGCUCCGCAGGAUGGGGGAGAAGAUGGCGGAAGAGGAGAGGUUCCCCAAUACUACUCAUGAGGGUUUCAAUGUCACCCUCCACACCACCCUGGUUGUCACGACGAAACUGGUGCUCCCGACCCCUGGCAAGCCCAUCCUCCCCGUGCAGACAGGGGAGCAGGCCCAGCAAGAGGAGCAGUCCAGCGGCAUGACCAUUUUCUUCAGCCUCCUUGUCCUAGGUGAAUAUGGACACUGUCAUCCCCAUCAUCUGCCAUCCCGUGUCUGUGUGCUCGGUCUGUGUGUUUAACCCUGUCACUCCACUUGACUGUCAAGUUUUCCUCCCAUUUGGUUUUCAUAUCAAACACUGAGGGAACAUGAUCAGUUUAUAACAUCAUUAACAGGAAACUCUCUUCUUUAUAAAAUCAUGGUGCUUAGCAAGUUCUGAAGAGCUCUUAAUGUAAUAUCUUAGCCUUUGAAAGAAGGAUUAAAAAAAU